CUCAGAAUGAACGUUUGCGGCGUGGAUUAUGCAUGCAAGUCGUGCGAGAAUCUUCCUUCGGGAAGUGGACAGCGGCGAAAGGGAGAGUAAUACGUAGAAAUCUACCUUCAAGCCCGGGAUAGCGUCGGGAAACUGGCGGUAAUACCGGAUAAUAUCUCCGGAUCAAAGGUGUGAUUCCGCUUGAAGAUGAGUCUACGUCCUAUUAGCUAGUUGGCGGGGUAAUGGCCCACCAAGGCAACGAUGGGUAGCGGGUGUGAGAGCAUGAUCCGCCUCACUGGGACUGAGACACUGCCCAGACACCUACGGGUGGCUGCAGUCGAGAAUCUUUGUCAAUGGACGAAAGUCUGAACAAGCGACGCCGCGUGCGGGAUGAAGGCCUUCGGGUUGUAAACCGCUGUCGUAGGGGAACAAAUGUAUGGGGGUUCUCUCCUUUACUUGAGUGAUCCUAGAAGGAAGGACGGGCUAAGUUCGUGCCAGCAGCCGCGGUAAGACGAACCGUCCAAACGUUAUUCGGUAUCACUGGGCUUAAAGAGUUCGUAGGCGGCCAUGCAGGUCAGGUGUGAAAUCCCACAGCUCAACUGUGGAACUGCGCUUGAAACCGCAUGGCUUGAGGGAGAUAGAGGUGAGCGGAACCAGAUGGUGGAGCGGUGAAAUGCGUUGAUAUCAUCUGGAACACCGGUGGCGAAAGCGGCUCACUGGAUCUCUUCUGACGCUCAGGAACGAAAGCUAGGGUAGCGAACGGGAUUAGAUACCCCGGUAGUCCUAGCCGUAAACGAUGAGCACUAGUCCGAGGGGACUCUCACAUCCUCUCGGACGUAGCGAAAGUAUUAAGUGCUCCGCCUGGGGAGUAUGG
rnacentral:rRNA from 1 species